UUGUGUUCCAGACCAACAUCAAUCCAAAUGGAAACAUUCGGUUCUAUCUCCUCUUAUGUACUUGCCACAGAAAUAAUAAUUGCAUCUAUGAAUUUGUUACCAUUUUUCCAAUCCAUAGAUAUGUUACACUACUUACUUGUGACCCAAUAUAGCGGACAUCACAAUCCCUUCCCCUAUGGUUAAGUUACGCAAAUCAUGUAUGGGCUCGAUUACAAG